GACGAACGCUGGCGGCGUGCUUAACACAUGCAAGUCGAACGGAAAGGCCCUGCUUUUGUGGGGUGCUCGAGUGGCGAACGGGUGAGUAACACGUGAGUAACCUGCCCUUGACUUUGGGAUAACUUCAGGAAACUGGGGCUAAUACCGGAUAGGAGCUCCUGCUGCAUGGUGGGGGUUGGAAAGUUUCGGCGGUUGGGGAUGGACUCGCGGCUUAUCAGCUUGUUGGUGGGGUAGUGGCUUACCAAGGCUUUGACGGGUAGCCGGCCUGAGAGGGUGACCUGCCACAUUGGGACUGAGAUACGGCCCAGACGCCUACGGGAGGCAGCAGUGGGGAAUAUUGCACAAUGGGCGGAAGCCUGAUGCAGCAACGCCGCGUGCGGGAUGACGGCCUUCGGGUUGUAAACCGCUUUCGCCUGUGACGAAGCGUGAGUGACGGUAAUGGGUAAAGAAGCACCGGCUAACUACGUG
rnacentral:rRNA from 1 species